rnacentral:rRNA from 1 species
CCCGGCGACCGGCGCACGGGUGAGUAACACGUAUGCAACCUGGCCGUGACAGAUGGAUAACCGGGAGAAAUCCCGCCUAAUACAGCAUGACGCCGCGGGAGGACAUCCUCCCGCGGCCAAAGGGGCGACCCGGUCACGGAUGGGCAUGCGGCGCAUUAGGUAGUUGGUGGGGCAACGGCCCACCAAGCCGGCGAUGCGUAGGGGUUCUGAGAGGAAGGUCCCCCACAUUGGAACUGAGACACGGUCCGAACUCCUACGGGAGGCAGCAG